rnacentral:rRNA from 1 species
UACGUAGGGUGCAAGCGUUGUCCGGAAUUAUUGGGCGUAAAGAGCUCGUAGGCGGUUUGUCGCGUCUGCUGUGAAAACCCGAGGCUCAACCUCGGGCCUGCAGUGGGUACGGGCAGACUAGAGUGCGGUAGGGGAGAUUGGAAUUCCUGGUGUAGCGGUGGAAUGCGCAGAUAUCAGGAAGAACACCCGUGGCUAAGGCGGUUCUCUGGGCAUUACCUGACGCUGGAGGCGCGAAGGCGUGGGGAGCGAACGGG